CCUACGGGGGGCUGCAGUGGGGAAUAUUGCACAAUGGGGGAAACCCUGAUGCAGCGACGCCGCGUGAGUGAAGAAGUAAUUCGUUAUGUAAAGCUCUAUCAGCAGGGAAGAAAAUGACGUUACCUGUGUAAGAAGCCCCGGCUAACUACGUGCCAGCAGCCGCGGUAAUACGUAGGGGGCAAGCGUUAUCCGGCUUUACUGGGUGUAAAGGGAGCGUAGACGGCAGUGCAAGUCUGGAGUGAAAGGCGGGGGCUCAACCCCCGGACUGCUCUGGAAACUGUACGGCUGGAGUGCCGGAGAGGUAAGUGGAAUUCCUGGUGUAGCGGUGAAAUGCGUAGAUAUUAGGAGGAACAUCAGUGGCGAAGGCGACUAUCUGGAACAUAACUGACGCUGAGGAGCGAAAGCGUGGGUAGCAAACAGGAUUAGAUACCCCAGUAGUC
rnacentral:rRNA from 1 species